rnacentral:rRNA from 1 species
GUACGACAGAUUAAGCACGGCNAACUCUGUGCAGCAGCCGCGGUAAUACAGAGGGUGCGAGCGUUAAUCGGAGUUACUGGCGUAAAGGGCGCGUAGGCGGUAAGAUGUGUGUGAUGUGAAAGCCCCGGGCUUAACUGGGAAGUGCAUCGCAAACUAUCUAACUGGAGUAUAUGAGAGGGUGGCGGAAUUUCCGGUGUAGCGGUGAAAUGCGUAGAGAUCGGAAGGAACGUCAAUGGCGAAGGCAGCCACNUGGCAUAAUACUGACGCUGAGGCGCGAAAGCGUGGGGAGCGAACAGGAUUAGAUACCCUGGUAGUCCACGCUGUAAACGAUGAGGACUAAAGGUUGGUAGGGGAACCUAUCAGUCUUGAAGCUAACGCGAUAAGUCUUCCGCCUGGGAAGUACGGCCGCAAGGUUGAAACUCAAAUGAAUUGACGGGGGCCCGCACAAGCGGUGGAGCAUGUGGUUUAAUUCGAUGCAACGCGAAGAACCUUACCUACCCUUGACAUCCUGCGAAUCCCGAUGAGAGUUGGGAGUGCCGAAAGGAACGCAGAGACAGGUGCUGCAUGGCUGUCGUCAGCUCGUGUUGUGAGAUGUUGGGUUAAGUCCCGUAACGAGCGCAACCCUUGUCCUUAGUUGCCAGCAUUUAGUUGGGGACUCUAAGGAGACUGCCGGUGAGGAACCGGAGGAAGGCGGGGACGACGUCAAGUCAUCAUGGCCUUUAUGGGUAGGGCUACACACGUGCUACAAUGGGGCGUACAGAGAGUCGCGAACCUGCGAAGGGGAGCCAAUCUCGUAAAGCGUCUCGUAGUCCGGAUCGGAGUCUGCAACUCGACUCCGUGAAGUUGGAAUCGCUAGUAAUCGCGAAUCAGCAACGUCGCGGUGAAUACGUUCCCGGGCCUUGUACACACCGCCCGUCACGUCAUGGGAGUGGAUGGUACCAGAAGCGGGUAGUUAACCGAAAGGGAGACGC